ACAUUUUUAGGAUCUCUAGCACUCCUGGCAGAGUAUGAGACCCAGCGACAGAGAUCAGUGUUACCUGUAGUAGGUGUUAUAGAUGGUUUACAGAGACUCUAUAGUAACAAUUUUACACCUAUUGUAAUGUUGAGGAGUCUAGGAUUACAAACAGUCAACUCAUUACAUUUUCUGAAGGUAAGUAUCAAAGAUUCACUAGAAUAUCUGUCUAUAGGACAAUAUACACAGAAUGCAUUAUCAUUGUCUGAACCUUGAAAUCUUGGUAAAAAAAUAUAAUUGAAACAGUUCACAUCAUUAUGAACAUGUGUACAAACUUUCAAGUUGAUGCAGGUGUACUCGGCUCUAAUCUUAAUUGACUAUGAUUGUCAGUUUUCCUAUGGAAGGUCUAUUGUUUUCUCCGGCACUCUGGCUUCCUCCAACAACAAAAACUGGUCCAAAAGUGGUGCUUUAAAGUGGCGUUGAAACACCAACAAUCAAUCAAUCAAGUUGAUGUGACUACAACUUCAUUGUAAAAUACCUUGACUAAAAAUUUGACCUGAUAUGGGAUCAAAAAACUUUUUUUCAUAGAUAAGGAUAAAAGAAUAGUAGGAUAUCUAGCCUCUUAGGUUUAUAGACAUUCUGUCAACUGCAUACAUUUGUAUGUAGCCAAUCAUUCCUCUAAUAUUAGAAGGAGACCAGAAUAUAAUACAUGUAGGCAUAAAUAUAUUUAAAAUAUGUCUUAUUGUGAAAUUCACCUCUGAUGCCAUUUGUGACUGGAGUUAUGAUCCCAAUCUAGACUAACCUACCUAAAUUUCUUUUAUUUUAAUUUAAAUACAACUUUGUAUGUGCUCAAUUCUAGUUCAUUUGAUCUUGUAAAUUCCUUAUGACAUGUCAGUCUUAUUUUUCUGUGCUUCAAUAGUUAAGAUUAGUACAAAGUAAAAUUUUAUUUAGAAUUGUAAAUAUUAUAUACAAGUGCUGUUCAGUGUUAGUCAUGGUUCCGUGUUGAAGACACCUAUAAUGGUUACUUUUACAAAUUGUGCCUUGGAUGGUGAGUUGUCUCAUUGGCACUCACACCACAUCUUCUUAUACCUAUAUACAAUGUGUAAUUUUAUUUCUUUCAGAAUAUUAUUAUCAAACAGGCCUCAACUUGAUGGAAAAACAAAAGACACAUCAUUUAUUUAUAGAAGUAUCAAGAAGGAAGAUGUUACUUUGCUGUGCAAUAAACUUUGUUGAAUGAAUUAUAUACAUAAAUGGUACACAGUGUUACAGUCACCUUAGGAAUAUAUGAACUUUCAUUGGUCAAAUAUUUAUAUGUGAGAUAGAUAUUUUUGUUUCAUUCAUGAAACAAGUAAGUUGACAUUUGAUCUAGCUAUUGGAGUUUACCAUUGUUAUAUUUAGUUAUAUCAUGAACAGAACAAUGUUAUUAGCAAAUGAAAAAUGUUAUUCUAUGAAUAAAGUAAAAAAAUAUUAGAUAUAUUAAAUCUCAAUAGAUAAAUGCCUUAAAAUGAUGUCCACUGUUUAUGAUUACUUUCUGCUCAUUUCUUUGUAUGUUGAUAGUGACUUAAGACUCGGGUAGGUUUAGCUCUCAGUACUAUUUUGAAAGUUGUUACAGAGGAUGCGUGUAUAGCUUAUGAUCUGUUUUCUUCUUUUACACAUAUUUUGAGUGGCCUAAGUGGCAAGGGGUCUUAGUAAUUUUAUCUACUGUAUCACUAGGAUGUCAACACUGAGGUUGUGAGAAUGAGCCCUGCACAUGGCAGGAGUGUUUAACUUUGAUCAUAAUUGACAAGGAUUACCAGUUUUCUGCCAAAGUUCACUUUUUUACUCAAGGCACUAUGGCUUCCACUACCAAAACAAAUGGCUGCUAAGAAUUAGUUAAUAGUUCUAAAGUUGUACUUAACAAACAAAAAUCAAUCAUAUAUUUUGAGAAUAGAGUGGGGUGCUCAUAUUCUCCGGGGACACAAUUUCCCUGUUUUAUGAUUUUGAGGUGUAAAAACUUCAAAGGAUGGCUGCAAUGGAAGAAAUAUGACGGUAAAUUAUACUUUUAUAACAAGUCUGAGUAUUUUUUAAACUUAGACAAAAUUUCGGCACUUACUGCAAAGGACUGAAAAAUGGACUAGGAUUUGCGGCCAAUUUCCUGAAUGAAAAACAUGGUUUCAAAAAAAUAUUUCUAAGUAAUUCUUUGACUGAUUGCCUUAUAAAUUUCAGUUCUUUACACCUUUGAAAUGUCUGCUAUCCAUCUAUAAUGAAAUUGAUUUGAUAAAUAUUGUUUAAAGCUGCAGUAAUUUGGUUUUAAUUAGAUGUGUAAAAACGGCAAAUAUGUGUCCCCCUUCGACAAAACAUCAGGAAAUUUCAAAUAGUAUUUAAUCUAACUUUUCAGAAGAUUUUUUUUUAAAAGAAACACGUUUUCAAACUAAGAAUAUUUUGCUUUUGAUGUUAUGUUCAUAUAGAAAUAUCAGUUUACUUCAAAAACAUAAAGACCUAAACAUAAAGUGCAGAAAACAUGGAAACUUGUGGCGAAAAUGAGCACCCCACUCUACAUUCUAAAGCUAGUGAUGUAUAAAUCAGAGGAAACAGGAGCUAUUUAUUCAAAAGGAGCUUAAAAAUAAUAUCCAACUAAUAUUAGUCAGAAGGAAGAUGCUAUAAAGAUUGACAUUUUAAGUUUGGCAAAGUUGUUUCAAAGAUGAAGAUGACUGAUUUAAAAUUUUCACCAUGGCUGUUAUACUAGUAUAUUGUCAUCCCAUAUCUAUGAAAUGUGGAAUCCAUUAAACUUGUUUCAAAUUAAUUUUUGUUCAGGGAAAAACUGGAAAAGAUUUGGACUUGAAAUUUCAGAAGAGUUGAUAGAACCAUGACUAGACAACAAUGACCACUCUCCAACAUUGUAGACUAGAAUUAACUAAAAUUUCUUGUUUGUUUAUCUUGUAUUGUUGAUCAUGUUACUCUCUGUUAAAAUGCAG
rnacentral:lncRNA from 1 species